ACUCAAAGGAAUUGACGGGGGCCCGCACAAGCGGCGGAGCAUGCGGAUUAAUUCGAUGCAACGCGAAGAACCUUACCAAGGCUUGACAUGCAUUCGACGUCUCCAGAGAUGGGGGUUCCGUAAGGCGGGUGCACAGGUGGUGCAUGGUUGUCGUCAGCUCGUGUCGUGAGAUGUUGGGUUAAGUCCCGCAACGAGCGCAACCCUUGUUCCAUGUUGCCAGCGGGUGAUGCCGGGGACUCAUGGGAGACUGCCGGGGUCAACUCGGAGGAAGGUGGGGAUGACGUCAAAUCAUCAUGCCCCUUAUGUCUUGGGCUUCACGCAUGCUACAAUGGCCGGUACAAAGGGUUGCGAUCCUGUGAGGGGGAGCGAAUCCCAAAAAGCCGGUCUCAGUUCGGAUUGGGGUCUGCAACUCGACCCCAUGAAGUCGGAGUCGCUAGUAAUCGCAGAUCAGCAACGCUGCGGUGAAUACGUUCUCGGGCCUUGUACACACCGCCCGU
rnacentral:rRNA from 1 species